GUCCAGGGCAGUUAGCAUGUAAACACCGUUCAUUUUGAUAUUCAGUAAUUACACACAGUGUCAGUUAACGUAUUGUUCACAUGGUUUGAGGAUUCAUUAAAAGUUGCAGCAGACAGAAAGGACCAGGAAACUGUCCGUUUGGCCCUGUGAGGAGUACAUGUCUACUUUUUCUGAACUGCUGUCGCCAGCCACAGCAUGGUUUGGGAUUGUGUUCAGCCUGAAGUCCACUCACAGCCUCUUCAACACUAGUCCUCGCCCAUUCUUCAUCUUUCCAUCGGCCUGCUUCAGGUGACAUCCCAUGAAUUUGCGCUGUGUGGCUCGUCAUGGAGGGGCUGCUACCUAUGAUGCGGAAACACAAAUGGCGCUGGUUGGUUGGUUUAUCCAUUUUGGGCUGCUGCAGGAACAUGACGGUGCAACAUGGUGGACUCUGUUGAUGAGGACCUACUCC